rnacentral:misc_RNA from 1 species
CGUAGUUCAGUAUCGUGUGAACUGUUGUAGGCGUCGAAUCGCGCGGCCGGCGUGGCGUAUACGUGAUAAUUCGAUAAUCUAAGCUAAGCUCUCUCUCUAGUAGUUUACCCGCACUAUUAUCCUGCGUGGCACUAUGAUUUCUCACUCUUCCACAUAUACAAAACUAGCCAUUUUAUUGCUAUAUCUAUUACAAACGAUCCACUGUCGGCCACAAGACACGGAGGCAAACGGCUCCCCGAUUAAUCCACUGCGUAAUGGUCGUUACAUACCAGAGUUGCAUGGCGCUGACCGUGGCAAAUAUAUACCCGACGAAAGCGGUAAAUAUCAUCAUGUUAAAGUGCCCUAUAACGGUGGCUAUGGAGAUCGUGGCCAAAUGUAUGUUCACGAUGCUCGUGGGCUGCCGCUACAUCAAUUCGGCACGCUCAAUGGCUUCCAACUGGGACCGAAGGAUCAUUUGCGCUUCUCUGUGGAUUUCAAUUUCGACGGCAGUGGUUGGCAAAUCGUGCAGUUCGAGUGGAUAAACGACGAUGACGUCAAAAAACAUUACGACUACAAGUAUGAAAAUCAACUAUGGCCAUCGGAUUAUGAUGUGAAUGCUGAUGUGAAUGCUGAUGCGAAUGCUGAUGUGGAAGCGACUGCGACAGAGAAGCCAGAGGAAGGAGAUACGACUAAUGUGCACGUCUCGGGCGAGUACCAAGAUGAUAUCUAUAAUGUGAAAUAUACGAAUGACAAUGAGCUAAAUGCUCCGAGUCAAUUCAACAUUCAAGCGACUAUAAGUGAUGUACUCGAUUACGUUCAGACAAAUGUGUUACCAACACUAACGUAAAAGGCGACGAUUACUAUGGUCCAAGAAAUACUAUUUUUCUACUACUAAUUUUAUAUCACUCUGCUUUUCAUCGUUAUCAUCGAGCUACUUUACUUUUCUUCAAUUGGAUAGUCGAUUUGGAGACUUUCUAUGUGAACAAACAUCAUUUAUUGUUAUUGUAAACGAACCUUCUGACAUAAUUUCUGAACAAAAAACCAUUUAGAACAACUAUAAUGCUUCCAAAACUUUAUUGCCUCUGGAAAAUGUUCAUCUGAAAGUUUCUGCUCUAAAUUUUUUGUAUUAUUUGUAUU